CUGAGUUUUACACUCUACACCCUGCGAACUUUACCUUCAGUAGCUUCGGCGGCCUGCCCCCGGGGGGGCACCAUACGGCCGUCGAAAGCAACUAAAACUCUUCUGAAAGUCUUCUGAGUGGAUUACAAAAACAAGUCA
rnacentral:misc_RNA from 1 species